rnacentral:rRNA from 1 species
GCUCAACCGGGGAGGGUCAUUGGAAACUGGGGAACUUGAGUGCAGAAGAGGAGAGUGGAAUUCCACGUGUAGCGGUGAAAUGCGUAGAGAUGUGGAGGAACACCAGUGGCGAAGGCGACUCUCUGGUCUGUAACUGACGCUGAGGCGCGAAAGCGUGGGGAGCGAACAGGAUUAGAUACCCUGGUAGUCCACGCCGUAAACGAUGAGUGCUAAGUGUUAGAGGGUUUCCGCCCUUUAGUGCUGCAGCAAACGCAUUAAGCACUCCGCCUGGGGAGUACGGUCGCAAGACUGAAACUCAAAGGAAUUGACGGGGGCCCGCACAAGCGGUGGAGCAUGUGGUUUAAUUCGAAGCAACGCGAAGAACCUUACCAGGUCUUGACAUCCUCUGACAACCCUAGAGAUAGGGCUUCCCCUUCGGGGGGCAGAGUGACAGGUGGUGCAUGGUUGUCGUCAGCUCGUGUCGUGAGAUGUUGGGUUAAGUCCCGCAACGAGCGCAACCCUUGAUCUUAGUUGCCAGCAUUCAGUUGGGCACUCUAAGGUGACUGCCGGUGACAAACCGGAGGAAGGUGGGGAUGACGUCAAAUCAUCAUGCCCCUUAUGACCUGGGCUACACACGUGCUACAAUGGGCAGAACAAAG